GCUCUCAAAGAGCAUGUUAACAACUUUUCAAAAGAUUCGGUUUUCUAAUGUUUAACAGAGUGAAAGGGCACACCUUUCAGUUCAGUUCCACAAAUACUUCUCAAGCAACUUCUGAGUAGUGUGGGAAUCUAGAGAUGGGUAAGACUAUGCACUUGUUUUUAAGGAGGUUGAUCUAAUAGAAAAUGAAAGCAGCAUAAAGACCAGAAUAUAUUACAGAACAAACAAGUGAUACCAAGAUAUUGAUUCCAACGAGAAUAUGAGGAUAGAAUAGUGCGUGAACAUUUUGAGCAAGGUACGGAGGACUUUAACAGAAGAGGAUGAAGAGAACAAGAAUAUUUAGGUGGGGACAUGAUUCAAAGAUACUCAGGUGGUAAAAUGAAGAAUUGUUUAUGCUCCAGGAUGUGGUUCACUGAGGCUACUUGGUUGGAGGGGAUGAGGCAGCACGUAAUAGGAAGGGAUCAUGAAAGCAUUUAAAAUAUGCUUUGAUUGGAAUCCAAACUUCACGCCGGAUUCUGUUAAAGAGUGCUCAGCCCAUCCGUGUGAUUAUUGAUAUAUGCUUCACUCGCUGGAUUGGAAAUUCCACAAGGCUCGGGAGUGUUCAGAAGACCACAAAGCAUUUCCAGGGGCCAGGGAGUGAACUUGGAUGGUGUCCUACAGAUUUCAUCGAAUUAACCUUUUAAGGUUAAUUUAUGUGCCAAGACUCAAAAGAGUAGCUUCCCUGCACAGAAACGUCAAAGAAAAGUUCCUGACAUUCUCAAAAAGAGAUGGAUAAGGAAAAGAAUGAGCAGGAGGGAGAGAAUCUUCAUAUUCAGUGAGGUCAAGAUAUGAAUGACCUUUAGAGUUCUUAUUUUCCACAAGAGUAAAGCCCCAAUCCAUCCAAAAUGAUGAAAAGUGAGUUCUGCUUUCAACUGGCACCGUCUCCUUAGCUAAUUUGCUGAAAGGUAGUGUGGGUGGGAAAAGGCAGCUGAGAGAGAGGGUUACGUUUCGUCCUUUCAUAAUUCCCUUCAGCUCACCAGGUAAAUGUAUACUUCAAGAAAAAUCUAUGUGAUGUUUUCACAUAAAAAGAAAACACAGUUGGAAAGUAAUUCAGAUUGUGUAUGGAUUUAGAGAUGUGGACCAGUAUUUCAGAGUUCCCCAAAUUUAUGUAAAAUAAGGCUAUAAAACUUGUUUAUCUAUCUCUCCUUCAACUGAUACCCUGUGCUAUCCGACUUCCAAAUUUGAGGCCCUUUUGUCUCUCGGUAGUUUAUUCUGCCAUCUAGUAUAAUUUACUAUUAACAUCUAGAAGUGUGCUUCUCCUUGACUAUAUUGUGUUAUGAAUCAAAAUGAAAUCCCUCCUUGUGGUCGCUAAACCAGGAAGGAGGAAAUCACCACCCAUGGAAUCUAGCAGAGUUUUGAAACAAAGGAAAAGUUGUGGACUUCAAGCCAGUUGGAUGAACUUUUCAUGCACUUCCCUUUCCCUAACAGCGGGGCAGGGAUGCGGGGGGUGGGGAGGGGUGGGAAAUACCACUAGCAUCACCUCCUACAAAGUUGAGGAUUACAGCAAAAUAGGCAGCCGAGAGGAGCAAUAGAUAAGAAAUAACACACCCAGCCAGAAAAGCAGGACUUUGAAAAAACACAUGAAAGAGACCCAAAGAGAAACGAAGCAGGUAUUGGAGAAGCAAGGUUGUGGAGGAGAAUUAAAACGGCACAUUUCUCUUCUGAGCUUGAUUUAGACUUUGGCAGUGCAUGCAGAGAGCCCUCACUCAAGAAUUAUUGUGCUAACAGGACUUUGUUACUUGGCACAUUGUAGGCUUUAUGUUUUGCUAAUAGUCACAACCACCCUAUAUUUUUAUCUUUUAUUCUCAUUUAACUGAUGAGGAAACCGGCUCAGAGAGAGUUAAGCACCUUGCAGAGGGUCACCGCAAGUAGGAGAACAGAAUUAGGAUUUGAACCUAAACAAGAUGUCCAGAGACUCUGUGCCACGCCAAGGAAGUUUCUCUCAUGUGCCCAUAGGUCUCAGACUUGGUUUUCAGCACAUUUUCCUUCUUUCUCCUACACUCUCCUGCCUGAGAGGAUUUGGAAGACUGGAGAAGAGGAACUGGAGUCCAUGAGGGGAAAGGGCACCAUAACCCAACAGAAGAACAAGGCUCACCUCCUGUCCAGGCCUCCGGUUUUCAUUUGUACAACGAAGGAAUUUGCUUGUACGGUUCCUACUGCCUGCUGAUUUAGUCUAAGAAGCACGGCAUAUGUAUAACAGAUGGAGAACUUUCCCUGGGAAAUUUGACCACUUGAGUCAGAGGAGAAAAUGCGCCCAAACCCGAGAUUCCACAAAACUUGGAGAAUAUCUGCACUUGCCCUUGAAUGUAGUUAACUCAAAAGUGUCCCUUGCAAGGUUCUCAUCAACUGAGCAAAGUGCCUUCAUUUUGCUGGGUUUAGUGAAGAAUGAGUCUAGAAAGAGGCUAUGGGGAUAGUGUGUUUUACAACCAGACCCCUAUCCCCCCAUCUUCCAAGGAUGAGCGGAAAUUGUUCCUUUCUGUCCUCUCUCCUGAUGCCGUUUUCUCUCACCUGGUUUCCUCAUGACUCUUAGCUAAGUCCCAGCUAGUGACUCUUUAUUGUGACACAGGUAACACAGUUGGAGUUGGUGAAAAUUUUUGAAAGAACUAAAGCCCAUCUGAUUUGUUGAAAAACAAAAAUAUCCAACAAUGAGGUGAAGAGACCUCAUUUCCCCAUUAUUCAUCCAUUUAAUAUUUCCCGAGUACCUUCUGUAUUUCAAACAUUUUUCUAGUUGUUUGGGAAAUGUUAGUGAAUAAUGUGGAUCGAAAUGGCUACCCUUGCUUUAGGUGUGUAAAUGUUAUGGGGAGAGUGGAUGAGGGUGUGAGGGGCGAGCAGAUUACAGCACUGGGAAGUAUAGGGAAGCCUCCUUGGGAAGUUGAGAUUGGGCUAGGAAUUGAAGGAUCUAGGAAUUGGCUAAGUGGCUAUGUGGGAGAAUAAUCUAGGCAAAGGGACAGCUAGAAGUGACGGUUUGAGUUGGGAACUUGGUCAUACACUUGAGGAACAGUAAGGAAGCCAGCAUGGCUGGUGCAAGGAGAGAAAAUAAUGGGCUGGAAAGGAAGACAAAGAGAAAGGGGCCAGAUUGGACUUUUGUAGGUUCUUAUAAGGAUUUCAGCUUUUAUUCUGCAUGGAGAGCCGUUGGAGGGUCUGAGCAAAUCAGUAACACCACCUGACACUCCAGCUGCUGGGUACAGGUAGGGCGGCAUUGGGGGAAGAGUUUGUAGGGAGAGCAAAGGAAAUCAAGACAACCAGUUAGAGUUUAUUGCGGAAAGUCGGGGGAGAGUGAUAAUGGCUUACACCAGGCCAGAGUGGUAGUAACAGCAAGUGGUGGUAACCAGGAGUCAGAUUCCGGAUAAUUCAAACAGCACAAAAUCCUGGGAGAUUGGGGAUGAGAUGUGAGGAAGAGAAAAACCAUUGAUCAAGAAGACAUUAAAUGUAAGCUACUAGAAGGAUGGAGUCUCCAUCAACUUAGACACUUGAGAAAGUAUGUAAACUAAUGUGGAAGGAUUAUUUGGGUUUGGGGAAAUGUUUGCUUAAUGGAAGUCUUCCAAAUGCAUCCUGAGUGGAGCUCCUCAAUUACACCCAUAGUUGCAUUAAGUGGUGGCCAUGGCUGGUAGAGCAAAGGAGACUGAGGCAGAAAGGAGGUGAAUGAGUGAGGGAUAGAGUAACAUUUAUUGUGUUCCAGUCACUGUAUGAGGCCUUUUUUUUUUUUUUUUUUUGGUCUUUUUAAGGCCACACCUGUGGCAUAUGGAAGUUCCCAGGCUAGGGGCCAAAUCCGAGCUACAGCUGCCAGCCUACACCACAGCUCAUGGCAACACUGGAUCCCUAACCCACUGAACAGGGCCAGGGAUCAAACCCACAUCUUCAUGGGUACUAGUCAGAUUCGUUACCACUGAGCCGUGAUGGGAACUCCUGGCCUCUUUUUUUACAAGAAAAAUUAUUUAGGUUUAAAGUGUACAAUGUGAGUAUGAAAUAAUGCCAUUUGCAGCAACAUGGAUGAACAUAGAAGUCAUCCCACUAAGUGAAAUAAGACAGAGUAAGACAAAUACCAUAUGAGACACUAAUAUGUCCAGUCUAAUAAUGAUGACACAGUAGAACUUGCAAAACAAAAACAGACUCAAAGGUUUUGAAACCAAACUCAUGUUUACCAAAGAGGAAAUGAGGGGAGGGGAAGGGUAAUUUAGGGGCUUGGGAUUGAUGUAUAUACAUUGCUAUAUAUGAAAUAAAUGGGUAACUAGGACCUACUCUAUAGCACAGGGAAACUUACUCAAUGCUGUAUAAUAACUUAUAUGGGAAAAGAAUCUGAAAAGGAAUGGAAGGAAUGGAUAUAUGCAGACAUAUAAUUGAUGUACUUUGCUGUAGGCCUUAAAUUAACACAACUUUGUAAGUGAACUAUAUGCCAAUAAAAUAAAAUAAAAAUU
ensembl:lncRNA uncharacterized LOC106504691